rnacentral:rRNA from 1 species
GGCUCACCUAGNACUGCAUCAAAACUNUAGACUAGAGUACGAUAGAGGAGAGUAGAAUUCCUGGUGUAGCGGUGAAACGCGUAGAUAUCAGGAGGAAUACCAAUGGCGAAGGCAACUCUCUGGAUCGACACUGACGCUGAGGUGCGAAAGCGUGGGUAGCAAACAGGAUUAGAUACCCUGGUAGUCCACGCCGUAAACGAUGAGAACUAGCCGUUGGAUCUUAGAUUCAGUGGUACAGCUAACGCAUUAAGUUCUCCGCCUGGGGAGUACGGCCGCAAGGCUAAAACUCAAAUGAAUUGACGGGGGCCCGCACAAGCGGUGGAGCAUGUGGUUUAAUUCGAUGCAACGCGAAAAACCUUACCAACCCUUGACAUCUAGUGAAAUUUCUAGAGAUAGAUUUGUGCCUUCGGGAACACUAUGACAGGUGUUGCAUGGCUGUCGUCAGCUCGUGUCGUGAGAUGUAUGGUUAAGUCCAGUAACGAGCGCAACCCCUAUUCUUAUUUGCCAGCACUUCGGGUGGGAACUAUAAGGAGACCGCCGUGUAUAACACGGAGGAAGGCGGGGACGACGUCAAGUCAUCAUGGCCCUUACGGGUUGGGCUACACACGUGCUACAAUGGGAGAUACAGAUGGUUGCGAAAGCGCGAGCUGGAGCUAAUCCCAAAAAGUCUUCCUCAGUCCGGAUUGGAGUCUGCAACUCGACUCCAUGAAGCAGGAAUCGCUAGUAAUCGUGAAUCAGAAUGUCACGGUGAAUACGUUCUCGGGCCUUGUACACACCGCCCGUCACGUCAUGGGAGUGUGUUGCACCAGAAGUGGUUUGCCUAACCUUUGGAGGGCGGCCCCCACGGUGUGAUACGCGACUGGGACGAAGUCGUAACAAGGUAACCGUA